GACGAAGGAUGCAAGCGUUAUCCGGAUUCAUUGGGUUUAAAGGGAGCGUAGGCGGAUUUGUAAGUCAGUGGUGAAAUCUCUUCGCUUAACGAAGAAACUGCCAUUGAUACUGCAGAUCUUGAGUACAGUUGCCGUUGGCGGAAUAUGACAUGUAGUGGUGAAAUACUUAGAUAUGUCAUAGAACACCGAUUGCGAAGGCAGCUAACGAAGCUGUAACUGACGCUGAGGCUCGAAAGUGCGGGGAUCAAACAGG
rnacentral:rRNA from 1 species